CCUCGGGCGGCUCCAGUGAGGAAUAUUGCACAAUGGGGGGAACCCUGAUGCAGCAACGCCGCGUGGAGGAUGACGCAUUUCGGUGUGUAAACUCCUUUUAUAUGUCAAGAAAAUGACGGUAGCAUAUGAAUAAGCACCGGCUAACUCCGUGCCAGCAGCCGCGGUAAUACGGAGGGUGCAAGCAUUACUCGGAAUCACUGGGCGUAAAGGACGCGUAGGCGGGUUGGAAAGUCAGGUGUGAAAUCCUACAGCUUAACUGUAGAACUGCACUUGAAACUUCUAAUCUAGAGUAUGGGAGGGGGAGAUGGAAUUAGUGGUGUAGGGGUAAAAUCCGUAGAUAUCACUAGGAAUACCUAAAGCGAAGGCGAUCUCCUGGAACAUUACUGACGCUAAGGCGUGAAAGCGUGGGGAGCAAACAGGAUUAGAUACCCGGGUAGUC
rnacentral:rRNA from 1 species